rnacentral:lncRNA from 1 species
UGGAGGGAAAUAAAUGACUGGAUGGUCGCUGCUUUUUAAGUUUCAAAUUGACACUCUAGGCAAGCGGUGCCUGAGCCCGUGCCUGUCUUCAGAUCUUCACAGCACAGUUCCUGGGAAGGUGGAGCCACCAGCCUCUCCCUGACUCACGCCCAAAGUUACAGAGGACCCAGCAACCAUCUCCUGCAGCCCCUGGAAACCUCUUGACUCUUCUGUGAUGUUCCCAGUGAUCCAGCAGCCCCGGCCUUCUUCUGAUGGCUUGAACAUUUGGUCUUCAUUGAACAGUUUGUAUAUUGGAAACUUGGCAGCCUCCAUCCACAUUCCAACCUCCUUCUGCAUCCCUCGGUACAAAAUGGUUCAAUCUGUCUACCUCCUUUCACAUUCCACCAAGAUAUUCCAAUGCCCAGGGUUCCUUUGACCACCUCACACCUAACAAGUUCCCUCACUGUCUCUCACUCUCCCCUGAAGAUUCUAAGCUGCCUCUGUCCUGCUAAAACUGUAGACCUGAGAAUGAAGUAAGAUGCUUCAGAAUAACUGGGAGAUGAAACAGGAAGCUCUAUGACACACUUGAUCGAAUAUGACAGACACCGAAAAUCACGACUCAGCCCCCUCCAGCACCUCUACCUGUUGCCCGCCGAUCACAGCCAGAAUGCAGCUGAAAGAUUCCCUGGGGCCUGGUUCCAACCGCCCGCUGUGGACUCUGAGGCCUCUGCAUUUGCGGGUGGUCUGCCUGUGA